rnacentral:rRNA from 1 species
AUUGAACGCUGGCGGCAGGCCUAACACAUGCAAGUCGAACGAGUGGCGGACGGGUGAGUAAUGUCUGGGAAACUGCCUGAUGGAGGGGGAUAACUACUGGAAACGGUAGCUAAUACCGCAUACCAUCAGAUGGGCCCAGAUGGGAUUAGCUAGUUGGUUGGGUAACGGCUCACCAAGGCGACGCUCCCUAGCUGGUCUGAGAGGAUGACCAGGCAGAGUGGGACGGAGACACGGUCCAGACUCCGACGGGAGGCAGCAGUGGGAAAGAGUGCACAAGGGGCGAAAGCCUGAUGCAGCCAUGCCGCGUGUAUGAAGAAGGCCUUCGGGUUGUAAAGUACUUUCAGCGGGGAGGCGUGACCCGCAGAAGAAGCACCGGCUAACUCCGUGCCAGCAGCCGCGGUAAUUC